rnacentral:rRNA from 1 species
UACGGAGGGCGCAAGCGUUGUUCGGAAUCAUUGGGCGUAAAGCGCGUGUAGGCGGUCGCGUAAGUCGGGUGUGAAAUCCCGGGGCUCAACCCCGGAACUGCAUUCGAAACUGCGUGGCUAGAGUCCCGGAGAGGGUGGUGGAAUUCCCAGUGUAGAGGUGAAAUUCGUAGAUAUUGGGAAGAACACCGGAGGCGAAGGCGGCCACCUGGACGGUGACUGACGCUGAGACGCGAAAGCGUGGGGAGCAAACAGG